UUAAGUGACUAAGCGUACAAGGUGGAUGCCUUGGCAAUCAGAGGCGAAGAAGGACGUGCUAAUCUGCGAAAAGCUUGGAUGAGUCGAUAAGAGGCGUUUAAUCCAAGAUAUCCGAAUGGGGAAACCCAGUAGAUGAAGAAUCUACUAUCAACAAGUGAAUACAUAGCUUGUUGAGGCAAACCGGGAGAACUGAAACAUCUAAGUACCCCGAGGAAAAGAAAUCAACCGAGAUUUCGUCAGUAGCGGCGAGCGAAAGCGAAAGAGCCAGUAAGUGAUAGCAGUAUAGUUAGGAGAAUGUGUUGGGAAGCACAAUCAAAGAGGGUGAUAAUCCCGUAUCUAAAAACCAUAUUGUGGUACUAAGCUAACGAGAAGUAGGGCGGGACACGUGAUAUCCUGUUUGAAGAAGGGGGGACCAUCCUCCAAGGCUAAAUACUCCUGAUUGACCGAUAGUGAACCAGUACUGUGAAGGAAAGGCGAAAAGAACCCCGGUGAGGGGAGUGAAAUAGAACCUGAAACCUUGUACGUACAAGCAGUGGGAGCCCCAUCACUUAAUCCGAUUGGAAGGUGAUGAAAAGCAACCGCACUUAAACAAUGGUAAGAGGAGCGAAGCGAGUCAAACCACCCAAAAAAAGAAGCAGUGGGAUUAAGUGAUGGGGUGACUGCGUACCUUUUGUAUAAUGGGUCAGCGACUUAUAUUUUGUAGCGAGGUUAACCGAAUAGGGGAGCCGAAGGGAAACCGAGUCUUAACUGGGCGAGUAGUUGCAAGGUAUAGACCCGAAACCCGGUGAUCUAGCCAUGGGCAGGUUGAAGGUUGGGUAACACUAACUGGAGGACCGAACCGACUAAUGUUGAAAAAUUAGCGGAUGACUUGUGGCUGGGGGUGAAAGGCCAAUCAAACCGGGAGAUAGCUGGUUCUCCCCGAAAUCUAUUUAGGUAGAGCCUUGAGGUGACACCUUUGGGGGUAGAGCACUGUUUCGGCUAGGGGGCCAUCCCGGCUUACCAACCCGAUGCAAACUACGAAUACCAAAGAGUGAUACUCAGGAGACACACGGCGGGUGCUAACGUCCGUCGUGGAGAGGGAAACAACCCAGACCGCCAGCUAAGGUCCCCAAGUCUAUAUUAAGUGGGAAACGAAGUGGGAAGGCUUAGACAGCUAGGAUGUUGGCUUAGAAGCAGCCAUCAUUUAAAGAAAGCGUAAUAGCUCACUAGUCGAGUCGGCCUGCGCGGAAGAUGUAACGGGGCUGAAAUAUAGCACCGAAGCUGCGGCAUCAGGCGUAAGUCUGUUGGGUAGGGGAGCGUUCUGUAAGCGGAUGAAGGUUAAUCGAGAGGUUAGCUGGACGUAUCAGAAGUGCGAAUGCUGACAUAAGUAACGAUAAAACGGGUGAAAAACCCGUUCGCCGGAAGACCAAGGGUUCCUGUCCAACGUUAAUCGGGGCAGGGUGAGUCGGCUCCUAAGGCGAGGCUGAAAAGCGUAGUCGAUGGGAAACAGGUUAAUAUUCCUGUACUUGGUAAAGCUGCGAUGUGGGGACGGAGUAGGUUAGGUUAUCGCACUGUUGGAUAUGUGCGUUUAAGUUGGUAGGUGGGAAGUUUAGGCAAAUCCGGACUUCCUUAACACAGAGAGAUGAUGACGAGGCUCUACGGAGCUGAAGUAACUGAUACCACACUUCCAGGAAAAGCCACUAAGCGAAAGGCUUUACUAAACCGUACUGAAAACCGACACAGGUGGUCAGGUAGAGAAUACUCAGGCGCUUGAGAGAACUCGGGUGAAGGAACUAGGCAAAAUAGCACCGUAACUUCGGGAGAAGGUGCGCUUACAGUAAUUGUAGUCCCUUACGGAUGAAGGUGAAGUAAGUCGAAGUGACCCGCUGGCUGCAACUGUUUAUUAAAAACACAGCACUCUGCAAACACGAAAGUGGACGUAUAGGGUGUGAUGCCUGCCCGGUGCUGGAAGGUUAAUUGAUGGUGUAAUCGCAAGAGAAGCACCUGAUCGAAGCCCCAGUAAACGGCGGCCGUAACUAUAACGGUCCUAAGGUAGCGAAAUUCCUUGUCGGGUAAGUUCCGACCUGCACGAAUGGCAUAAUGAUGGCCAGGCUGUCUCCACCCGAGACUCAGUGAAAUUGAAAUCGCCGUGAAGAUGCGGUGUACCCGCGGCUAGACGGAAAGACCCCGUGAACCUUUACUAUAGCUUGACACUGAACAUUGAAUUUUGAUGUGUAGGAUAGGUGGGAGCCUUUGAAGCAGUGACGCCAGUCAUUGUGGAGGCGAGCUUGAAAUACCACCCUUUAACGUUUGAUGUUCUAACGAAGAUGACGAAACGUGGUCUCGGACAGUGUCUGGUGGGUAGUUUGACUGGGGCGGUCUCCUCCCAAAGCGUAACGGAGGAGCACGAAGGUUUGCUAAUCACGGUCGGACAUCGUGAGGUUAGUGCAAUGGUAUAAGCAAGCUUAACUGCGAGACAGACAAGUCGAGCAGGUACGAAAGUAGGUCAUAGUGAUCCGGUGGUUCUGAAUGGAAGGGCCAUCGCUCAACGGAUAAAAGGUACUCCGGGGAUAACAGGCUGAUACCGCCCAAGAGUUCAUAUCGACGGCGGUGUUUGGCACCUCGAUGUCGGCUCAUCACAUCCUGGGGCUGAAGUAGGUCCCAAGGGUAUGGCUGUUCGCCAUUUAAAGUGGUACGCGAGCUGGGUUUAGAACGUCGUGAGACAGUUCGGUCCCUAUCUGCCGUGGGCGUAGGAGAAUUGGUUGGGGCUGCUCCUAGUACGAGAGGACCGGAGUGGACGCACCACUGGUGUUCCGGUUGUGUCGCCAGACGCAUUGCCGGGUAGCUAAGUGCGGAAGAGAUAAGUGCUGAAAGCAUCUAAGCACGAAACUUGCCAAGAGAUGAGUUCUCCCAAUCUAAGAGAUAGUAAGGGUUGUUGUAGACUACGACGUAGAUAGGUCUGGUGUAUAAGUGUAGUGAUACAUUGAGCUAACAGAUACUAAUUGCCCGAGAGGCUUAACUAU
rnacentral:rRNA from 1 species